CCCUUAGAUGUUCUGGGCCGCACGCGCGCUACACUGACGCAUUCACCGAGUUCUUCUGUCCUGCAUCGAGAGGUGUGGGUAAUCUGUUGAACCUGCGUCGUGAUGGGGAUAGAUUAUUGCAAUUAUUAAUCUUCAACGAGGAAUGCCUAGUAAGCGCAAGUCAUCAGCUUGCGUUGAUUACGUCCCUGCCCUUUGUACACACCGCCCGUCGCUACUACCGAUUGAAUGGCUCAGUGAGGCUUU
rnacentral:rRNA from 12 species